GUUACGGAGCCGAGCCAGGGCCCGCCGGGCGCCCGGGAGCCUGCGGUGCCGUCCCCCGCACCGGGCGCCGCCGCCGAGCUCGGGGCGGCGGCUCCCGACUCCGCCUGGAAGAAGAGGUCCCGCCGGCCGCGGGCUGAGUGUAAACCAUUAGCAGUGUAUUUGACGCAGUAUUAAACAGUGUUGUCUCCUGAAAGAAUCAAUGAAGCAGCUUUUAGGAUCUGCAGCUGGCACUCUAGCUGAUUUUUGGGGGCGGUUUUUUGUUUUUUAUCAUGAGACUUACUACAUUCUUAUCAAUAUAAACCUUUAACUGGAGGCUAUUACUGAAUUCUUCAUUUCUAAAGUAAGAGUAAUAGCAGCAUGCAAAUCAGGGAGUUUCCGCAAUGGAGAAGAGGGAAGGUGAUAAUUGUACCAUUGAUUCGAACACAGCUCAAAGCAUCAAGCCAAGAAGAAAUACAGGAAACCUUAGCAACUUGAAUGUGGAUAUGCAAGUCACUAGUACACCAGAAGCAGCUGCACUUUUUAGUCUACAUCAAGCACACCAUUUUGGUGAGUUUGAAUGCUCUUCAGAACAGCACUGCAAGCAGGAUCUGUUCCCCAAAUGGCACCUUCCAAUGAAGAUAGCAUCUGUGAUCUCAUUGUUAAUGUUUAUUUACACUUCUCUGAGAGAUGUCAUAUAUCCUUUUAUAACCAGAAAAGAAAAUGUUUUCUAUAAAAUUCCAGUCCUCGUCAUAAACAAAGUUUUACCAGUGGUUUCAAUUACCCUUUUAGCACUGGUAUAUUUACCAGGAAUAUUAGCUGCUGGUUUCCAGCUGUACUCUGGAACCAAGUACAAAAGGUUUCCCCAGUGGUUGGAUAGAUGGAUGUUAUCAAGAAAACAAUUUGGACUUCUCAGUUUCUUCUUCGCUACAAUGCACGCCUGCUAUAGCCUAUGCUAUCCAAUGAGAAGAUCAUACAGAUACAAGCUGCUGAACUGGGCAUUCCAGCAGGUCAAGCAAAAAAAAGAAAAUGCCUGGAUUGAACAUGAUGUUUGGAGAAUGGAGAUUUAUGUGUCUCUAGGAAUUCUGGGACUUGCUUUGCUGGCAUUAUUGGCAAUAGCAUCAAUUCCAUCUGUCAAUCACUCUUUGACCUGGAGAGAGUUCCACUACAUUCAGAGCAAGAUGGGAUAUUUAGCUCUGCUGUUAUGCACAGUUCAUGCAUUGGUGUUUGCUUGGAAUAAGUGGGUUGAUGUUAACCAAUUUAUCUGGUACACACCACCUUCUUUUAUGGUAGCAGUUUUUCUUCCUAUUGUCGUCCUGCUCUGUAAAUGCAUACUGCUCCUCCCAUGUUUUAGGAGGAGGAUACAAAAGAUCAGAUGUGGUUGGGAAGCUAACACACAAACCAAUCAAACCAGCAUAACUUCCAGAUUGUAGAUAAAAUAUGGACAUUUCUUGUCUGCUGCAUGUAAGUAUGCUCAGGUCUGUGAAAUGCUCACUUGCCAGCUCUGUUUUCAUAUUUUGCUUAGAUGUUUCUUUUAUACUUGUCAUUUCCACUUGAGGUAUAUGGGAUAUUUUAUGUUAUUUGGACCUUUGCUGAGACAGCCAGUGGAAGGAUUCAUUUUACACUUUAAUCUAUUCGACGUUCUUUUAUUUGCUUAUUUCUUUGUCCUGAUUCAGUGCUUUUAAAAUCCAAGUGCUUCCUCCUCUCAAUUUCAGUGCAUGAAUGCACUGAAUUAUGAUUGCAAAAGCAGUCAUAAAUCACUGUUUCAGAUGACCACAGAAAGUAAAUAAAUGAGUACACUCUAGAACUCAGGCAUGCUUUCUGCUUCCCACAGCCAUGUUUGUCCCCUGGUUACAUCUCAGUAUUAUAAUGGGACAGCAACUGGCUAUUUACCAUCCUGAUCCCCCAUACACCCUGCAUCCUACAUGUUUCACUCUGCAGAAGGGGGACCUUAGCACAUGGGCAAGGCAGAAGCCGUGUUGCACUUAAGACAAUCGGGGAAGUAGGAUUAUAGGCAACUUUAUAGAGUAAAUCUCUCCUGAGGUUUAGGCACAGUCUAAAAAAAUAGUUAUUAGACUCCAAUCUACAGCUUACAGUACUUACAUCUUAUAGGCCGUGUGUGUCUCUGAUUACUACACUUAAAACUAUAAAACAUUUCACCCCCCCCCUUUUUUUUCCAUGAAUACGUUCUUUUGUUUCUGAUGCUGGAAAUUUUCCAUGCUUUUGACCUAAGCAUGCAGCCCUUGACACGUGCUAAACUUUACUCACACAAAUUACUCCUGUGGGAUAGUAGUGGGAUUUUACUGCUUAUUCUAGGGCCAGAACAAUUGUAUGACUAGAAGAAAAACAUCAGAAAUAGACAUUUGAAUCUUGACAUUGAUUUGGUGAGAUUUUCAAGUAAAAUCGCUUCUGAAUACAUUCGCUUUUACUAAAAUUUUGGUAUAAGCUAAUGAAACUUCACUUUCUGUAUGUUGCCUAAGUCUAACUGAAUAUUUUAAAUGAAUAAUUAGUUAGCAUCUAUUUUUUAAAAUGUUACAUAGUAGCUAUGAUUUUCACCCAAAAUCAGAAACAUCCUGUUGCCAGUCUCCCUACAUGAGUUGACUAGGAUGAGGAUUAAUGAUGUCAACUAUUGCCGGGAGCAUUUGAAUUGUAAUUGGUAAUGAUUCUGAUACUAAAACAGAAACAGGAAAACUAUGGCUGCCUAAAAAAAAUAUGUGAUACAUGGAGCUAAUGAUUCUGCAACUCAUGAUCCUGUUGUGUAUUUGUGGACUUAAUGUAGUAAUAUAUUGCUGUAGAAAAUAUAGCAGGGUUGUGGUGGUCUGUGUAACAUAGACCAAAGAGAAAUGAGUUGGCAUUGUAUAUAAAGUCAGUAAUGCAUGACAAACACUGUCUAAAACACAGGAAACCAGUCUGCAAUGUGAUUCUAAGAAAUGUAAAAUAGAAAAGUGCAGUUGUCAAUAUGUUAACAUUUAAAUAUCUAUAAAUGAAAUAAAUAAAAUUAAUUAGAAGUAGUAUUAGGAGUAAAGAAUAAGAUCUACCAAAGGCUUAUUCAGAGUAUUACCUGCACUUUGUUCUCAGGAGUCAUGAAAAAAACUUACUAAAAUUAAUUUCCCCAGUGGAACAGACUUAGGGAAAUGCAAAGAUAAAGAAAUCUAAUUGUCUUCUAUAUUGUCCAUUAGCUAUUCAUAAGGUGUGCCCAAAUUUACUACUUAGGACAAAGCUGAGAUUGUAAGUACUCCAGGCAACCCCUGUAUGCAUCCAGUGAAAAGAUUAAUGUUUGGUUUUAUUGAAAUAUUUUUAAAUUGUGGUUUCCAGAAUCAGUCCUACUUCAUCUUAGAAAAUUCUGGAGAACUUAAUUCAAUCUCCAACUUUGUUAAAUUCUGGUCAAAAAGUUGGAUUCAUUGUUUACAGCUGGCCAUAGAAGCCAACCAUCUGACAAAGGGCAAAAUAAACAGCUUCAAGGGUAACCAGGCAUUGUGACACACAGAGCAGAACCUGACCCUUGAUCACUGAAAACUGAAAGGAGGUGAAUGAAGACACUCCUUGGAAGAAGCCAUUUAAAGCUAUUAGUGUGGCAUGUGUUAAACAAAACCAAGGCAAAUUAAUAUGUGUAUAUAUGUGGAGAGCAAAUAGUUCUUGGGAAUAAUAAUGGACUUCAAGGCUUUUCAUUAUCACCAUUGCAAGUAGGCUCUAUUAGGUGUGAUCUUUCUUCACAUCAGUUUACCCUGGAUCAGCUAGAUCCAUGAGCAUUGAGAAGAGGUGUAUGGUCAGUAUGAGUGUGAAAUUAAUAGGAGCUGGGAGUUAAGGAACUGUGCUUUUGGGGUGUGCAUCUUACUGCAAAGCAAUAGGAUAUAGACCACUGAGCCAUUUUUGAAAGUGGGACUUUGAUUCCUAAGUUGCUUUGGCCCUUCUGAAACAUUUGUCCAAGUUCUCAUAACUUUUUCUCACUGAAUCUAUGAGACAUUGUCUUAAUUUGGUGUCUAAUGGACAGAUUCUUAUUGCAGAUACCAUUGUUAGAAGACAGGCCAAAAACUCUGUGGGCCUAUAAAAAUAUUAUGCACAGUUCACUGGAAAAAGUGCUCCAGUCAUCUGUUCUAUGGCAUCUUUAUCCAAGCAGAAGUAAAGAACUGUUAUCCAUACUGUUAUACUUACGGUAUAUAAAAUCAGAACAAGGCACAUCACAAGCACAAAACUCCUUUCAAGAGGCCUGCAUAAGGAUAAAAAGGCACAAGAGAAUCAAGAAGAGCUGUUGGUACAAACAAUAAACUGGUUUUAUUCAAAAGGAACCAUUCUCCUCAUGCUGGCUGCAGUGGCCUGGAGUCUCCAAAGGGAAGAAGACAGAGAUGUGAGAAGCAAAAAGGACACUUUCAUAAUGGAAUGUACUGAAAGGAGCAGAAACCUUUUUACUGACAGACCACAUAUUCUAGCAGUCAGAGGAGAUUUUGUGAAGGAACAGAAGGCUGAGCUAGUUGUGGAAUGCUUUGGAGAUAGAUCUGUGAUGCCUGUAAACACUAUCCGAAGACCCAGAAUGGUGAGGGCAUUGAGGAGGAGAAUGGAGCACAGGCAUAUUUUUUCAUAGGAAUCCAUCAGUCUAGUGUGAGCGUUUUUGCAAUGCCUUAAAAAAAAGCCAUGAAGUGUUUCGUUCACUUGUUAGAUGCCCCUGUUGUAUUUAAGUAAGAGAUACAGAACUGGAACUCUGGAGAGAGACUCUUAAAUUGCUGAAGAGAUUUGAGGAAUUUUAUGCCAAGUUUACCUGGGGUAGCCAGAUCCCAGAAUACCGUUCUCAAGAAGUGGUACCAACAGUCAGUGCCAGGGCCAUGCUGGGUGUUACUUGAUGUAAAUUCCUAUUGACAGCAACAAUUAGUGUAAGCAGUCCCUUUCCUUGGCCACUCUUUUCUGUUCUCUCAGUUCUGCUAACACAAGUGUUUAAAGCUGUGAAGUUAAUCAGACCAGGGAAUUUGAUCCAGUUGAAAAGUAAUCCAGGGAAAAGAAUGAUUCAGCUGGAUCAAUACCUUGGUCUGAUUCACCUGACAGCCACACACAUAAGCCAGCACAGAGGUCAGGAAGAGCAGUGGCAUAAAAAGGCAAUUUAGCUUAAACCAGCUUAAACCAGACGGUUCAGGCAUAUCUAUCCAAAUGAGUCUCGUGACUGUCCAGCUGAAGUGAGGAGGUGUUAACCUGAAUUUUGACUGAUGACAACAGAUACUAUAUGUUCUUACAUUCGGUACUCCCAUUGAGAGGAAUGAUAUCUAUCAGCAAACUCAUGUUUUCUGUUGACAAGAUGAUAAGUGCAAGAAAUGAUGGAAAUAAUUUAUAUUCUGCCAAAACAACUAACUCCCUGAUUUCCAGAUAUGUGAGCUUGCAAGUAGUUGUGUCUGUGGAUUAGAUGGUCAAAUGCAAGGUUAAGGCCCACUCCAAAAUUGGGUGAAAAAAUCAUUUAUUGCCAUCUAUCUAAAUUUUUCUCCACUGUCCAACAUUCUUGUUUUCUUCAUUAAAAGCUUGAUCCCAUUCCCAGUAUAAUAUGGUCACUGAAAAUACUACUUAAAAUAAGAUGAAAUUCUUUGAUCCUGCAGCUACCCCAUAUCGCAACACUUCAGUAGUUUUCUUGGCAGGCAUUUAUAAGGUCUUCUAAAAUUCAAAAAACUUCAUCCUAUUUCAGUAGCAGGAAUGUUUUAUUGCUUGGUUUAUUUGUCAAGCUCUUAGUUUUCCAUGAAUCAGUAGACAAAAAAUGUGUUCUAGAAAUUAUCACCAAAACUUACAAAACUGACUGACCUCAACCUAACUGUGGAACUGCUUGGCUUCAUUUGUAGAGAAGAUGAUCUCAUGUCUUUCUUUUCCACUACAUCCACAGUUUUUAUUGUUGUCCCUUGAUAAAAUGAAAUGUUAUAUUAACCUUUUUUGAGCUUCAGAAUAUGUUUUAAGCUGAUUUUCUUAAGGUUAAAAGAACAAAACAAAAUAAAGAUGGAAUUCUGAAAACAUGCUGAAUCCACCCCUGGAAAGUGUAAUGUGCUCUAAUCACUUUCAAGAGUGUCUGUCAAUGGCUGAUCAUUGCCACUGAUCUUUUUCAGUAGUGCCAGAAUUUCUUGAUCCCAUCAGCCUGUUCUGUUGCUGAUGGCAAAAUUAUUUCUUCUGGUGAGACCUUGGAUCCUGUAACGAAAUGCCUUCGAGUGGGUGUGGUGGAGCUAAGUUAAUAAGUAUGCAUAAUAAGUUUUCAGAGAUUUUCAAAUGAAAACAUUUAAAACCAGUCAGUGAAUCAAACUUUGUAAACUUUUUUUAAAAAAGACCAUAGCUACUUCCAAUAAAGAGGAUCCAACAGAAAA